rfam:Smittium mucronatum strain ALG-7-W6 scaffold-55, whole genome shotgun sequence.
GGCUUGAUGGUCUAGCGGUAUGAUUCUCGCUUUGGGUGCGAGAGGUCCCGGGUUCAAUCCCCGGUCAAGCCC